UGUUUCACAUGCUACAACUGAAGAGUUGCUUGCUUUAACUCUUUUUAAAGAGACACCCAAGUUGCUACAAAACCCCGGCUUCCUUGGAGUCCCCUAGUGGCCACCAUGGGAGUAUUACUGAUGUGCUGCAAAGCACGCGAUUCAGUGUUUCCACCUUUCUCGGCUGCAGGAAGGAAGAGAGGCAGCCAUGGAUAGAGGAUACUGUAUCUUCAGAGCUAGGAAGACCUGGCUUUACAGUCCUGCCCCUGAGAAGUACUGGUUGUGUGACUGGGCAAAUCAUUUAACCUCAUAGUCCAGUAGGCCAGAGGAAUCAAAGACCCAGCCCAUGUGACCUGCAACACUAUGGAGACCAGUUGAACCAAAUUAAAAUGUA